rnacentral:rRNA from 1 species
GGACGAACGCUGGCGGCGUGCCUAACGCAUGCAAGUCGAGCGGGGAUGGUAGCUGAAGGUGAUGAGCUGGAAGCUGCCAUCUUAGCGGCGGACGGGUGAGUAACACGUGAGCAACCUACCCUCAGCACGGGGAUAACAGCUCGAAAGGGCUGCUAAUACCCGAUGGGACCACGUCAUUGCAUGGUGAUGUGGUGAAAGGGUGGACGUAAGGUCCAUACCGGCUGGGGAUGGGCUCGCGGCCCAUCAGCUAGUUGGUGGGGUAACGGCCUACCAAGGCGACGACGGGUAGCCGGCCUGAGAGGGGUGACCGGCCACAGUGGGACUGAGACACGGCCCACACUCCCUACGGGAGGCAGCAGCGGGGAAUCUUGCGCAAUGGGCGAAAGCCUGACGCAGCGACGCCGCGUGAGGGAAGGAGCCCUUCGGGGUGUAAACCUCUUUGGACGGGGAGAAGUAGGAGAUAGUACCCGUUUAAAAAGCCACGGCUAACUACGUGCCAGCAGCCGCGGUAAUACGUAGGUGGCGAGCGUUGUCCGGGAAUUACUGGGCGUAAAGGGGUGCGUAGGCGGCCUGGUAAGUUGAGCGUGAAAAUUUUUGGGCUCAACCCAAAAGGAGCGUUCAAGACUGCCAGGCUUGAGUGCGGGAGAGGACGGCGGAAAUUUCCCGGUGGUAGCGGUGAAAUGCGUAGAUAUCGGGAGGAACCCCCAGUGGGGCGAGGCGGCCGUCUGGACCGUAACUGACGCUGAGGCACGAAAGCGUGGGGAGCAAACAGGAUUUAGAUACCCUGGUAGUCCACGCUGUAAACGAUGGAUGCUAGGUGUGGGGGAGAAGAACUCUUUCCCGUGCCGUAGUUAACACAAUAAAGCAUCCCGCCUGGGGAGUACGGCCGCAAGGUUGAAACUCAAAAGGAAUUGACGGGGGCCCGCACAAGCGGUGGAGCAUGUGGUUUAAUUCGAAGCAACGCGAAGAACCUUACCAGGGCUUGACAUGCCGGGAACCCUUCCGAAAGGAGGGGGUGCCUGACCAAUGAGGUUAGGAACCCGGACACAGGUGGUGCAUGGUUGUCGUCAGCUCGUGUCGUGAGAUGUUGGGUUAAGUCCCGCAACGAGCGCAACCCCUGCCCUUAGUUGCCAGCGGGCAGAGCCGGGCACUCUAAGGGGACUGCCGCCGAUGAGGCGGAGGAAGGUGGGGAUG